GUAUUAUAGGUGGAAACAGACGGUUUAAUAUAAGUUCAGCCCCAUACCAAAGGAUGUAUGUUGAUAUGGAAGUCGAAAUUCACAACCUUGAGCAGGAUGCAUAUGGUGCAAUCCUUCGAGCGUUCAAAGCACAGUCUGAUGCUCUUACAUGGGAAAAGGAAAGCUUGAUAACAGAACUCAGGAAAGAGCUGAGAGUGUCAGAUGAUGAGCACAGAGACCUACUGACCAAGGUGAAUGCCGAUAACCGUAUUCAUAGUAUCAGGGAGUGGAGAAAGACCAAUGGAAACCAACCUAUUCAUGAUCAACUCCCCAGUCCAACAGUUUCUGGGUCAAGAAAGAGGGCAAAGUCACAAUCUGUGAUAAUGCCACUUGGUGCCCCGUUGGAGUCCUUGCACCAUCAGACAAUUGCAGCAAACACGCAACCUACUACUCCAGGUGCAAAAUGGGGAGCAGCACCAGGAAAUGGAGGAUUUAGGUCUAGACCUGGCCAGCAAGUGUUCUCUUCAAGGCCUGUUCAUUAUCAGCAGGCUGGUCCUGGUUCUUCAAGUGUUCUUCGUUCUGGUGAACUUGCUGAAAGACCGCGCGACCCCUUGAUUGGGAGAAGAGUGAUGACUAGGUGGCCAGAUGACAACAACUUCUACGAGGCCAUUAUAACUGACUACAGCGCUGUUGAUGGUCGGCAUGCUUUGGUGUAUGAUAUGAAUACACCAAAUGAAACUUGGGAAUGGGUUGAUCUCAAAGAGAUU
rnacentral:misc_RNA from 1 species